UACGUAGGGUGCAAGCGUUAAUCGGAAUUACUGGGCGUAAAGCGUGCGCAGGCGGUUGUGCAAGACAGAUGUGAAAUCCCCGGGCUCAACCUGGGAACUGCAUCUGUGACUGCAUAGCUAGAGUACGGGUAGAGGGGGAUGGAAUUCCGCGUGUAGCAGUGAAAUGCGUAGAUAUGCGGAGGAACACCGAUGGCGAAGGCAAUCCCCUGGACCUGUACUGACGCUCAUGCACGAAAGCGUGGGGAGCAAACAGG
rnacentral:rRNA from 1 species